GCCCUAAGAAAUAGAAGCCGGGAGCAGAAAUUCGCAGGUCUAGGGAAAAGUGCCCCCAAAUGGCAAACCCAGGUGUUAGCCUUGGGUGAAGACAGUGACUAGGGGAGAUGGGUUUUCUGACCACCUCCCCCAACCCAGGAUAACUGUGGGAGUAAAAGAGAAACCCACUUAGUUCUUGGUGGAUACAGGGGCUCAACACUCUGUCUUCCAAGCCAAUGGCGCCGUUUCCAAGAAAAGAUCUUGGAUCCAAGAAAAGAUCUUGGAUCCAAGAAGCCCCUGGCACCAAAAUGUAUUCAUGGACUACCAGAAGAACAAUGGACCUAGGGAUGAGAUGGGUAGCCCAUUCAUUUAGGGCCACCCCAGACUGUUCCUACUCUCUGUUGGAGUAAGACAUACUCUCCAAAAUGGGGAGGGGAGCAGAUAUGUUUCCUGCCCAACAGCUGCGGUUAACUGGCCCAAAAAUAGAGACUGAACCCUGCUGAAACUUGCUAUAGACAGGAGCAGUUUUCUCCAUGAUGGACAGAGAUAAACAGGUGGUGCUAUGGUAGACAACACAAAUGUCAUCUGGGUAGAAGAAUCUUUACCCCCUGGCAUGUCAAUGCAGAAAGUGGAGCUCGUUACCCUAACCAAGACCUUGGAACUUAGAACCAGCAAGAAAAUCAGCAUCCACAUGGAUAACAGGUAUGCCUUUGCCACAGCCCACGUCCACAGGGAUAUAUGCCAAGAGGACUGCUCACAUCAGAGGAAACCAACAGGAAAUCUUGGACCUCUUAUAUGGCCUAAUGAAGUCAGCCACUAGGGUGAGAUCAAUUAUGUAUACAGACUCCCAAGCAGGAUCCAGCAGGAGAUGGAGACAAAGUAAAAUGAAGACAGAAAGGCCAGGCUUUCAUCCUGCUUUCAGCUACCUACUGGGCCCUGUUAAAAAGGUCCACACAAGCCAGGAGGAGCGGAUUGCAGGGAAACUAGACGGAAGUGCCACGUAAGCCCGCCUGUUCUGCAUUGUUUGUGAGUCAGGUGAGAGCAGGGAAGGGAAACACUGUUCCCCUCCUCCCGGCCUGGACUAUCCCUGACUAUCCCUGAGAGGGUACUGGGCCCAAUAGCUGCUCAUUUUGGAGGUCAGAUGAAGACUAGAGCUGACCUGGGCGUUCUUGCCGGCCAGUAUACAGAGUACGUGUUACCUCUUCUCAUCAAAGGCAUAAAUAUUGUGAGGAGAGACACUGCCCAGAAAGGGCAGAGUUCUGCAAAACUGGUUGAAGUUGAGGCAUGGCUCAGGGCCUGCCCAUGCUCAGCAGAAAUGUCUCCCCAACCACGUGUAAAGCUCAGUUAGGAAAUGUGAACCCACAAAAUGAGAAUUACAAGACACACACACACACAUACACACAUCACACACACACACACACACACACACACACACACGAGUUCAUAUUUCUUCCUUAGCCUUUGAGGGCUCAUGUCUCCAGGCUCUGAGUUAUUCUUGCUUCACCUUCUUGGGUCCCAUUGUAUUGUCUGGAGCAGUCACUUUGAAAUGUGUUUCCUCCAGCCUGGGAUUUGAAUAUUAGUCAUUAACAUUAUCACUCACCCUCUGUCCUUUUUCAAGGACAUGCUGAUUAUUCCAUUUUUUCCACCUGCAUUUUUGAGUGCUAUCUGUUGAGAAAUGGCCUCUCUAAGACCUUCCCCUUUCAUACUUUCUCCAGUACAGACUAUAUCCCUUUGAUGGUCAUUAUCCAGUCCUCCAGGAGGACCUUGUUGAGUAAAUUUGAGAAUAAAGAAUAACUUCAUAAGUGAUGAUACUAAAAGUGUUUUUAUCACUUUUGCAGAAAUCAUGCAUUCUAUUCAGAGAUAUCUCCUUUUCUCCAAUACUGUCAGUGGUCACAGGUGCCUGUCACAGGCACCGUGGUUGAAAAGUACACGAGUUUUACUAGCAGCAGUUUCCUAUACCAUAUGUACACUGGUCUCAUAUCAAAGGCAGUGCCAAUUGAUGACCUCCACCAUCUAUGUUUAUGCUCUUCUGAAGAAAACAACCUGAAAUGAUGCAAAUCCCUUGCCAAAAGACAUCUCAAAUCCAGCUGUGGUUACUGAUUUAUUGAUGGACAUUAUCCAGUGGCCUUGAGGAGGUGGUGGGCAAGCAAAGCCAUGGCCUAUAAAUAAGGAGAGACAGCUUAGCAUCCAUCCUCCAGUGAAUAAUAGAACAAAAGCUGCCAGUGCCUGCCUGCAGGAUCAAAGCUCAUGGGCAAACAUUGUGUCUCUCAGUUAAAUAAAUCCAAAAAAAGGCACUUGAGUGGUGAAGCCAUAGAACUUUCUGGGAACGAAGUCUGAGCAGAAGACAAACCUGAUAGAGAGAGGAUUUCUGUACUCCCCUACACAGUGGCACUUUCUUGUGGUAUUUCUCUGGAGUUGGAGGACUGAUCCCUCUAUCUCCUUAUAUGUCAUCUAUCUCAAAGCUCAGAGAGUUAGAGUGGGCUAAGCUAGAGGUGAUGGGGAAAACAAUUCUGAGCUAGGUGGUAGGAGACUUAAGGUUGGUGAGCUUAGGCACCUCAAGAGUUUUCUAGGUCUUAGUUUCCCCAUUUGUAAAGAAAGGGAAAAAUAUUGGCUCAAACCUCCUAUUCCUGUCAACAAAUCCACUUCUUUAGAAAAAGAAAGACUAGAUCAGUUGCUAUCAGGCCCUGUUCUAGUUACUGACUGAUAAGUAGAGUAGUGACCAUUGCUAUUCUGGGUCUCAGUACAAAAAUGCCCAUUUCCUGGGAAAUCUGGAGAUGGCAUGUGGGCAGACUUAUUCAUUCUCUCUUGUAGCCUGAUCACACUUGCCAGUAGAUAAAGCAGCAGUAGCCUCAGAUUGAUUCUAAGGGCAAAUUCAUUAGGGUUGUAUUAGGGUUUAAAACUUGAAAACAGUUUUUAGGAUACUAAAUUCUGUGGCUGGAGGUUGGCUCAGUGGUUAUGAGCACUUAUUGCUCUUUCAUAGGAUUGAGGUUCAAUUUCCAACAUGCACAUGGGAACUUACAACUGUCUGUAACUUCAGUCCUCUUAACCUCUGGGCAAUCUCCACAGCCUAUGUUGACUAUCUUUUUUAAAUGCUUAGUAGAAGAUUUAGAAAUGUUUGUGAGUUAAAUGUAUUGCUGCUUUUUCAAUUGAGAUUUUUGUUCUUUGGGUGAAUUGUAGUAUUCUCUCUGUAUUUUGGAUAUGAGUCCUGAGUGACAGAUGAAUUGCAAAUGUUUUCUCCUGGUCUGUGGCUUGCCCUUUCUUUGAUCUUAUUUAUUUAUGUAGACAGUGUCUUACUGUGUAGCCCUUGCUGGCCUGUAACUCAUCAUAAAGACCUGUCUGGCCUCAAACUCACAGAGAUCAUCCUACCUCUUCCUCUCUACAGCUGAAACUAAAGGCAUGUUCAGCUUGCAUUUUCUUUUUUUAUAUAAUGCCCUUUUAAGACGAGAAAUCUUAAACCUUUGAUGAAGUCUGUUGGUUGAUAUUUUCUCUUGUAUUUUUUAAUUGCCCCACCCCCAAAAAUAUUGUCUCUCCUGAGGUCACUAAUAUUUCUUCUAUAUUUUCGUACAGUUUUAGUUUUAUAUAUAUAUGCAUUAACCAUUUUGAAUCAGUCUUUGGUACAGCGUAAGGUAAGAACUCAGUUGACUUAAUAAAUUUUUUUCUGUAGGGUUAUUUAACCACAUCAUUUUACUUUCUGGAAAAACAGUCAUCUGUACCUUAUCAAACAUAAACUGAGGGCUAGGCUUGGUGGUACACACCUCUAAUUCCAGCAGAGGCAAGCAAAUCUCUGAGAAUUUGAGGUCAAUUUGGUUUUCAUAGCGAGUUCUAGGCCAACCAAAGCCACAUAAUAGUAAGACCCUGUCUCAAUAGAUAGAU